UCCCCUCGGUGGGUGCUGGGCGCCCCGUUCACGCUCGUCUCCCCAGCACGGGCGGCUCAUCGAGGCGCUGCGGAAGGAGGUGGCCGAGAGCCGGGAGAGGCAGCGGGCGGCCGAGGCCCGGGUGGACGCGGCGGAGGCUCAGCACCGCGGCCUGCRGCAGGAGCAGGCUCAGCACCGCGAGCAGCUCGAGCACCUCCGGCAGCAGCUGGAGGAGGCCAACGCUCGCUUGGCCAACCUGGGCGCCAGGUUGACGUCCGCCGAGGGCACCCGCAAGAAGGACCUGGAGAGGCUGAAGGCCAGCGAGGAGAAGGGCAGAGCGCUGGAGAACCGGCUGUUGGCACUGGAGCGGGAGCAUGAGGAGCUGCGCGGUGCCAUCGCCCAGCUCCGGGGCCAUCCCGGCAGGACGGCGCGCCGGGCGCUGCUGAGCUGGGACGAGAACGGCGACGAUGCCCAGGCCACCAGCGUGUGACGGCCCCGGCGCUGGGACCAGCAUGGCUCCGCUCCCUUCAUCCCCUUUGGUCCCCACCGUGUACCCAUUGCCCGUCGGUGGCCUGGCACCCGCUGUCACCUUCACCAGCACCCGGAGCUGCCUCUCCCUGGCCCCUUCUGAGGGUUGUUUAACCCCCAUCUCCCAGGGUCUCCUGUCCCCAGGCAAUAAAGUGUCGGUGUUGCUGCGAUA
rnacentral:lncRNA from 1 species